AAGAGUCGAGUUGUUUGGGAAUGCAGCUCAAAAUGGGUGGUAAAUUCCAUCUAAAGCUAAAUAUUGGCGAGAGACCGAUAGCGAAGAACUAGCGUGAGGGAAAGAUGAAAAGAACUUUGGAAAGAGAGUUAAACAGUACGUGAAAUUGCUGAAAGGGAAACGCUUGAAGUCAGUCGCGUCAUCCAGGGAUCAACCUUSCUUUUGCUUGGUGUACUUUCUGGUUGAUGGGUCAGCAUCAAUUUUGACCAUUGSAAAAAGAUUAAGGGAAUGUGGCAUACAUUAGUGAUGUGUUAUAGCCCUUGGUUGCAUACAAUGGUUGGGAUUGAGGAACUCAGCACGCCGCAAGGCCGGGUUUUUAUUAACCACGUAUGUGCUUAGGAUGUUGGCAUAAUGGCUUUAAUCGACCCGUCUUGAAACACGGACCAAGGAGUCUAACAUGCCUGCGAGUGUUUGGGUGGAAAACCCGAGCGCGUAAUGAAAGUGAAAGUUGAGAUCCUUGUCAUGGGGAGCAUCGACGCCCGGACCAGACCUUUUGUGACGGUUCCGCGGUAGAGCAUGUAUGUUGGGACCCGAAAGAUGGUGAACUAUGCCUGAAUAGGGUGAAKCCAGAGGAAACUCUGGUGGAGGCUCGUAGCGAUUCUGACGUGCAAAUCGAUCGUCAAAUUUGGGUAUAGGGGCGAAAGA
rnacentral:rRNA from 1 species